rnacentral:rRNA from 1 species
UACGGAGGGUGCAAGCGUUGUCCGGAUUUAUUGGGUUUAAAGGGUGCGUAGGCGGCCCGUUAAGUCAGUGGUGAAAGCCUCCAGCUCAACUGGAGAACUGCCAUUGAUACUGACGGGCUUGAGUACAGACGAGGUUGGCGGAAUUGAUUGUGUAGCGGUGAGAUGCAUAGAUACAAUCAAGAACUCCGAUUGCGUAGGCAGCUAACUAGGCUGUAACUGACGCUGAGGCACGAAAGCGUGGGGAGCGAACAGG